rfam:Brassica rapa chromosome A1, whole genome shotgun sequence.
GGAAUAUAACAACCCGUCUCUUAACUUUUAACUAAAAAAGCUAAGAACCGGCUCUUAAAUAAGAAUUUUAAGAACCGAUUCUUAGUUUUUUUAGUUAAAAGUUAAGAGACGGGUUCUUAUAUUCC